GUCUACGGCCAUACCACCCUGAACGCGCCCGAUCUCGUCUGAUCUCGGAAGCUAAGCAGGGUCGGGCCUGGUUAGUACUUGGAUGGGAGGAAGGACUUCCCAGGCACCCCGGUCU
ensembl:rRNA 5S_rRNA 5S ribosomal RNA